CAAUGAAGGAAGCAUGGUAAUGUGCACAGAAAUUGAAUCGGGUCUCAGGGCCUGCCUUCUCUAAUGCCAUCUGGCUUUGAUUUGAGAGCAUAGUUUCGCGGCAAAGCA